GGGAUUGUGGCUCAGUGGCAGAGCCCUUGCCUCACAUGUAUGAGGCUCUGGGUUUGAUCCUCAGCACCA
rnacentral:tRNA from 1 species